rnacentral:rRNA from 1 species
GAUGAACGCUGGCGGCGCGCCUAAUACAUGCAAGUCGAGCGAACGGACGAGAAGCUUGCUUCUCUGAUGUUAGCGGCGGACGGGUGAGUAACACGUGGAUAACCUACCUAUAAGACUGGGAUAACUUCGGGAAACCGGAGCUAAUACCGGAUAAUAUUUUGAACCGCAUGGUUCAAAAGUGAAAGACGGUCUUGCUGUCACUUAUAGAUGGAUCCGCGCUGCAUUAGCUAGUUGGUAAGGUAACGGCUUACCAAGGCAACGAUGCAUAGCCGACCUGAGAGGGUGAUCGGCCACACUGGAACUGAGACACGGUCCAGACUCCUACGGGAGGCAGCAGUAGGGAAUCUUCCGCAAUGGGCGAAAGCCUGACGGAGCAACGCCGCGUGAGUGAUGAAGGUCUUCGGAUCGUAAAACUCUGUUAUUAGGGAAGAACAUAUGUGUAAGUACCUGUGCACAUCUUGACGGUACCUAAUCAGAAAGCCACGGCUAACUACGUG